rnacentral:rRNA from 1 species
UAGGCAGGUACAGCGGGAAGCCACCUGGCGACAGGGAGCGGAACCCGAAAGCCUGUCUCAGUUCGGAUUGGAGUCUGCAACCCGACUCCAUGAAGCUGGAUUCGCUAGUAAUCGCGCAUCAGCCACGGCGCGGUGAAUACGUUCCCGGGCCUUGUACACACCGCCCGUCAAGCCAUGGAAGCCGGGGGUGCCUGAAGUGCGCUGCCGCAAGGAGCGCCCUAGGGUAAAACCGGUGACUGGGGCUAAGUCGUAACAAGGUAUC